rnacentral:tRNA from 1 species
GUUUUAAUAGUUUAAAAAAAAUAAUGAUCUUGUAAAUCAUAGUUAGAAUAUUCUUUAAAACU